rnacentral:lncRNA from 9 species
CAGGCCUGCCAAGUUGCCUCCCAAAGCUUCUUCCUGAGAAUGAAAAACAAGUGUUUUUCUCUGGGUCAUCUGAAUUUCAGUGAGCCCACGAAUACUGAGUGUGUUUGGAGUUCCCAGGUUAGGGGUCCUAUCGGAACUGUAGCCGCCAGCCUACACCAGAGCCACAGCAAUGUGGGAUCCCAGCGGUGUCUGCAACCUACACCACAGCUCACAGCAACGCCAGAUCCUCAACCCACUGAGCGAGGCCAGGGACCAGACCUGCAACCCCAUGGUUCCUCGUCGGAUUUGCUAACCACUGAGCCACGACGGGAAUUCCCACAACUCUUUAUUAGUCUCCAGUAGUACCCUACCCUAUUUCUGAAUUCACAUUCCCAGGAGUGAGAUUCUCUUUUGCCCACCUAGUCCUGGACUGGGCAGUGUUUGAGCCAGAGCCCAGAGACUUCACCUAGCCAGCCUGUGCAUGAGCAGUCUCCUGCUGAGUUGGGCCACACUUUUGGCUAUAGCCUGGAAGGGAGAGGGGUGCCCAGGGUCAGGUGGUACAAAACAGAACUGCCUAGGUCUGCCUCUGCCACCUUACCAAUGGACAAGCUGGCUCAGAUCCCAGCUCCUUACUGAGAUCUGAGUGAUGGAAAGCCCCCAAGGUAGGCAUAGGCCCUGUAAGACACAGUAAGCAGGUCGGUGUUAGGGACUUGUUUUUUAGUUUUUUUUUGUUUUUUCUUUUUUAAUGGCUGCACCCACGGCAUAUGAAAGUUCCUGGGCCAGAGAUCGAAUCCGAGCCACUGUUGCCGCAAUGUCAUACUUUAACCAACUGGGCCGGCCUGGGGAUUGAACCCAUGCCUUGGCAUCGACGAGAGCUGCUACAGUCGGAUUAUUAUUUUUUUUUUUUGUCUUUUGUCUUUGUUGUUGUUGUUGUUGUUGUUGUUGUUGUUGCUAUUUCUUGGACGAUCCCGCAGCAUAUGGAGAUUCCCAGGCUAGGGGUCGAAUCGGAGCUGUAGCCACCGGCCUACGCCAGAGCCACAGCAAUGUGGGAUCCGAGCCGAGUCUGCAACCUACACCACAGCUCACAGCAACGCCAGAUCCUCAACCCACUGAGCGAGGCCAGGGACCAGACCUGCAACCCCAUGGUUCCUCGUCGGAUUUGCUAACCACUGAGCCACGACGGGAACUCCCACAACUCUUUAUUAGUCUCCAGUUCUACCCUACCCUAUUUCUGAAUUCACAUUCCCAGUAGUGAGAUUCUCUUUUGCCCACCUAGUCCUGGACUGGGCAGUGUUUGAGCCAGAGCCCAGAGACUUCACCUAGCCAGCCUGUGCAUGAGCGGUCUCCUGCUGAGUUGGGCCACACCUUCGGCUAUAGCCUGGAAGGGAGAGGGGUGCCCAGGGUCAGGUGGUACAAAACAGAACUGCCUAGGACUGCCUCUGUCUCCACCUUACCAAUGGACAAGCUGGCUCAGACCCCAGCUCCUUACUGAGAUCUGAGUCAAGGAAAGCCCCCAAGGUAGGCACAGGCCCUGUAAGACACAGUAAGCAGGUCGGUGUUAGGGACUAGUUUUUUAGGUUUUUUUUGCUUUUUUUUUUUUUAAUGGCUGCACCCACGGCAUAUGAAAGUUCCUGGGCCAGAGAUCGAAUCCGAGCCACUGCUGCCGCAAUGUCAUACUUUAACCAACUGGGCCGGCCUGGGGUUUGAACCCAUGCCUUGGUAGCAACCAGAGCUGCUACAGUCGGAUUCUUAACCCACUGUACCACAGUGGGAACUCCGCGUCUUGGUUUUUGCCUCUAGUGCACUUGGCUGCACUUCUUUUGAUGGGGAAGGGAAUAGCAGAAUCUUAAGGACUAUAUCUAGAAUCUCUUUGUGCCUAUGGCAGUGAGCUUAGAGUUGAGUUAUUUGCAACAAAUCUCUUGGUUUUCUCCACAAUAUCCGGCUGCCACACACAGUCUCUGGGCUCAGUGGAGCAAAGUUUUUUUUAUCACUGAGAUUCCUUCUGGUGCCUGCUAUGGACCCGACUGGAUAAGCAGCCUCCCCUCCCUGAAAACUGCCUCGUCAGCAUCUUCCUCCUGGAUGGGCCAGUGGAGCACAUGGGAUUGGGUCUCGUUUUCCAUUUGCUUUAGAUCCAGCCCAGUCUUGGGCUGGGAAUUGUUUGUGAGGUAAUGGAGGCUCAGAGAUGCCUACUUCUGCAAAUCAUGUUACACACGGAUGGUGUCUGUACUGGGGAGGUGGCAACGCACCGGAAUAGGGAUUUUCCUUCUAUAGAUGUUGGAUUUAGAGCAAUUCAGUGGACAUCUGGACUGUGUGUGUGUGUGUGUGUGUGUGUGUGUGUGUGUGCGCGCGCGUGCACGCACACAUGCACUUGUGUGUGUUGUAAGACUGAGAGAGAACGCUAUGGCAGGAGGUUUUCACAUGGCCAACUUUUAACAACAAAAAAAGAGCAGUUUGUGGCCAAGCUGUCGGUCUUGAGGGACAAACAAAUACCGCAGGGGGCUGAGAAAGGCAGGGAUGGAUUUACUGAGCUGCUCCUGGGUUGGGGGAAGAAACACAGAAUGCUGGGCAUUUCCCUCUGGUUGCCAACACGCACCGUGUGUAGCCAACUCCUCCUCCUCCUUGGUAAGGAGAACCCCAGUUCUAAUAAGACAGCCAUCCUCCCUAGGGAAGGGAUCACCACCUCAGGGGUAAACCCGGAUUCACCUAAGCCACAUGUGGUCAGUCCCUUCAGAGAUUAAUGUGAGCAUGGGCAGGUGAUAAAAACACCAGCCAGUGAGAGUUGAAGGCAAUUUCUUGUGGGCUUGUGCGAACGAUCUCCUCUCUCUCAAAAAGAGACAAAGGAAGAAACGUCCUCUCAUGCUUCAGUUGUCUACAGUAUUGGCCUGCAAUACCUGGAUAUGUGGCAGCCACUUUGAUACCAUGAGGUGAGCUGGCUGGCACGUGGAGGGUAGUCAGGCAGAAAUAAAAAAAAAAAA